rnacentral:rRNA from 1 species
UAGAGUUUGAUCCUGGCUCAGAUUGAACGCUGGCGGCAGGCCUAACACAUGCAAGUCGAACGGUAGCACAGAGAGCUUGCUCUCGGGUGACGAGUGGCGGACGGGUGAGUAAUGUCUGGGAAACUGCCUGAUGGAGGGGGAUAACUACUGGAAACGGUAGCUAAUACCGCAUAACGUCGCAAGACCAAAGAGGGGGACCUUCGGGCCUCUUGCCAUCAGAUGUGCCCAGAUGGGAUUAGCUAGUAGGUGGGGUAACGGCUCACCUAGGCGACGAUCCCUAGCUGGUCUGAGAGGAUGACCAGCCACACUGGAACUGAGACACGGUCCAGACUCCUACGGGAGGCAGCAGUGGGGAAUAUUGCACAAUGGGCGCAAGCCUGAUGCAGCCAUGCCGCGUGUAUGAAGAAGGCCUUCGGGUUGUAAAGUACUUUCAGCGGGGAGGAAGGUGUUGCGGUUAAUAACCGCAGCAAUUGACGUUACCCGCAGAAGAAGCACCGGCUAACUCCGUGCCAGCAGCCGCGGUAAUACGGAGGGUGCAAGCGUUAAUCGGAAUUACUGGGCGUAAAGCGCACGCAGGCGGUCUGUCAAGUCGGAUGUGAAAUCCCCGGGCUCAACCUGGGAACUGCAUUCGAAACUGGCAGGCUAGAGUCUUGUAGAGGGGGGUAGAAUUCCAGGUGUAGCGGUGAAAUGCGUAGAGAUCUGGAGGAAUACCGGUGGCGAAGGCGGCCCCCUGGACAAAGACUGACGCUCAGGUGCGAAAGCGUGGGGAGCAAACAGGAUUAGAUACCCUGGUAGUCCACGCCGUAAACGAUGUCGACUUGGAGGUUGUGCCCUUGAGGCGUGGCUUCCGGAGCUAACGCGUUAAGUCGACCGCCUGGGGAGUACGGCCGCAAGGUUAAAACUCAAAUGAAUUGACGGGGGCCCGCACAAGCGGUGGAGCAUGUGGUUUAAUUCGAUGCAACGCGAAGAACCUUACCUACUCUUGACAUCCAGAGAACUUUCCAGAGAUGGAUUGGUGCCUUCGGGAACUCUGAGACAGGUGCUGCAUGGCUGUCGUCAGCUCGUGUUGUGAAAUGUUGGGUUAAGUCCCGCAACGAGCGCAACCCUUAUCCUUUGUUGCCAGCGGUCCGGCCGGGAACUCAAAGGAGACUGCCAGUGAUAAACUGGAGGAAGGUGGGGAUGACGUCAAGUCAUCAUGGCCCUUACGAGUAGGGCUACACACGUGCUACAAUGGCGCAUACAAAGAGAAGCGAACUCGCGAGAGCAAGCGGACCUCAUAAAGUGCGUCGUAGUCCGGAUUGGAGUCUGCAACUCGACUCCAUGAAGUCGGAAUCGCUAGUAAUCGUAGAUCAGAAUGCUACGGUGAAUACGUUCCCGGGCCUUGUACACACCGCCCGUCACACCAUGGGAGUGGGUUGCAAAAGAAGUAGGUAGCUUAACCUUCGGGAGGGCGCUUACCACUUUGUGAUUCAUGACUGGGGUGAAGUCGUAACAAGGUAACCUCAGUCAGUCA